CUCAGAACUUUCGGCUGCUGCAGUGCUGGUGGUGACGUCAGCAGCUUCAAUUAUGGGCUCUGGUUUCCCAGCUGCGGACAUCGGCCGUGCCGCAAGCCCGUUCGUGUCCGUACCGCCUGAAGGAGAUGCAUCCGCAUUGCUGGCUCUGCGCUCGGCGAGCAGCUUUGCCGCAUCAAUUUUCACCUCUGGCUUCUCAUCGAUCUGCAUGCCCACCACAACCUUCAGCUUAUCUUGUGUGUCUCGCACCAGACGCAUCUCCUUUGCAGGCAGCAUGCGCAUGCGCAAGGUCCUCGAUUGCAGGUUUCCUUGCACACAACUCAGCAGCAGAAGAGACCAGUGCGGAGGCCAGCGCACCUGCAUGGGAGCGGCAGUGUCGGGGGCUGCAGAGGAGGGAGGAGUGGCGCGGGCAACGCCAUUGGGCAGGUCGGCCUGCGUCAGAGAGGGGCCCACAUCGCAGAG
rnacentral:lncRNA from 1 species